UGGCAAGAAGACUGAUAAUGAUUUCUAUAAAAAGAUAGUGGAUGCUUAUGAAGUGAAAAAUCAAGAAUUGAUGUCAGAGAAUGCUGAUUUGAAGGCAUUAUUGCGAUCAAUGCAGGUUGAUAUGCGGGAUUUCCUAAAUGCUCCAAAUGGACUACCUAAGCAACCCCUCGCAGUUAAUGAAAGAGUUGAAAGUGAAGGUGCACAGUCUCCAUUUGGUGGGAGGACGG
rnacentral:misc_RNA from 1 species